AGAGUUUGAUCCUGGCUCAGGAUGAACGCUGGCGGUAUGCUUAACACAUGCAAGUCGAACGGGAUGCUUAGGCAUCUAGUGGCGGACGGGUGAGUAACGCGUGAGAAUCUGGCUCCAGGUCGGGGAUAACAGUUGGAAACGACUGCUAAUACCGGAUGUGCCGAGAGGUGAAAGAUUUAUCGCCUGGAGAUGAGCUCGCGUCUGAUUAGCUAGUUGGUGGUGUAAGGGACCACCAAGGCUUCGAUCAGUAGCUGGUCUGAGAGGAUGAUCAGCCACACUGGGACUGAGACACGGCCCAGACUCCUACGGGAGGCAGCAGUGGGGAAUUUUCCGCAAUGGGCGAAAGCCUGACGGAGCAAUACCGCGUGAGGGAGGAAGGCUCUUGGGUCGUAAACCUCUUUUCUCAAGGAAGAAGAAAGUGACGGUACUUGAGGAAUAAGCAUCGGCUAACUCCGUGCCAGCAGCCGCGGUAAUACGGAGGAUGCAAGCGUUAUCCGGAAUGAUUGGGCGUAAAGGGUCUGUAGGUGGUACUGAAAGUCUGCUGUUAAAGAGCAAGGCUCAACCUUGUAAGAGCAGUGGAAACUACAGAACUAGAGUGCGGUAGGGGCAAAAGGAAUUCCUGGUGUAGCGGUGAAAUGCGUAGAUAUCAGGAAGAACACCGGUGGCGAAAGCGUUUUGCUAGACCAUAACUGACACUGAGGGACGAAAGCUAGGGGAGCGAAUGGGAUUAGAUACCCCAGUAGUCCUAGCCGUAAACGAUGGAUACUAGGCGUGGCUUGUAUCGACCCGAGCCGUGCCGGAGCUAACGCGUUAAGUAUCCCGCCUGGGGAGUACGCACGCAAGUGUGAAACUCAAAGGAAUUGACGGGGGCCCGCAC
rnacentral:rRNA from 1 species